rnacentral:rRNA from 1 species
AACGAACGCUGGCGGCGUGGAUUAGGCAUGCAAGUCGAACGCGAAUCCCUGGGCAACUGGGGAGGAGCGUGGCGAAAGGGGCAGUAAGGCGCGGGUAACCUACCCUCCUGGCCGGGAUAGCUUCUGGAAACUGUAGGUAAUACCGGGCGACGCAGCGAGAUCGCAUGGUCUUGCUGCCAAAGGUUUGCCGCCGGGGGAGGGGCUCACGUGGUAUUAGCUAGACGGCGGGGUAACGGCCCACCCGGGAAGAGAUGCCUAGCAGGUGUGAGAGCACGGUCAGCGCCACUGGCGCGGAGACGAUGGCCAGACAACUACGGGGGGCGGCAGUGGGGGAUAUUCGGCAAUGGGGGCAAGCCUGACGGAGCGACGCCGCGUGGGCGGUGAAGGCGUUCGGGUUGUAAAGCACUGUCGAGGGGGAGGAAGCCGCAAGGUUGACCUAACCCUGGAGGAAGCACGGGCUAAGUUCGUG